CCUACGGAGCGCAGCAGUGAGGAAUAUUGGUCAAUGGGCGGAAGCCUGAACCAGCCAAGUAGCGUGCAGGAUGACGGCCCUACGGGUUGUAAACUGCUUUUAUACGGGAAUAACGCGCCUUACGUGUAGGGCUUUGCAUGUACCGUAUGAAUAAGGACCGGCUAAUUCCGUGCCAGCAGCCGCGGUAAUACGGAAGGUCCGGGCGUUAUCCGGAUUUAUUGGGUUUAAAGGGAGCGUAGGCCGCAUGUCAAGCGUGCUGUGAAAUGUCCGGGCUCAACCCGGGCCUUGCAGCGCGAACUGGCGUGCUUGAGUCCGCGGAAAGCAGGCGGAAUUCGUCGUGUAGCGGUGAAAUGCUUAGAUAUGACGAAGAACCCCGAUUGCGAAGGCAGCUUGCUGCAGCGGAACUGACGCUGAUGCUCGAAAGCGCGGGUAUCGAACAGGAUUAGAUACCCGAGUAGUC
rnacentral:rRNA from 1 species